rnacentral:rRNA from 1 species
UGGGGAAUAUUGCACAAUGGGGGAAACCCUGAUGCAGCGACGCCGCGUGAGCGAAGAAGGCUUUCGAGUCGUAAAGCUCUGUCCUAUGAGAAGAUAAUGACGGUAUCAUAGGAGGAAGCCCUGGCUAAAUACGUGCCAGCAGCCGCGGUAAUACGUAUGGGGCGAGCGUUGUCCGGAAUUAUUGGGCGUAAAGGGUACGUAGGUGGUUUUUUAAGCCAGGUGUCAAAGCGUGGAGCUUAACUCCAUUAAGCACUUGAAACUGAAAGACUUGAGUGAAGGAGAGGAAAGUGGAAUUCCUAGUGUAGCGGUGAAAUGCGUAGAUAUUAGGAGGAAUACCGGUGGCGAAGGCGACUUGCUGGACUUCAACUGACGCUGAGGAACGAAAGCGUGGGUAGCAAACAGG